GUUAAGUAGCCUUUCAUAAACUUCUUGUACAAUUAGAUAUACAGUACAGCCUCCGGGUUUUUCAGCAUCGUGUUUCGUGAUCACGCAAGUCGCCCCGCGUGUUCACGCAAGUCGCCCCGCGUGAUGAGGCGAUCGCCCCGCGUGAUUAUGGGUUACGUCUUGCGCGGCACACGCGUGACAACAAUCGUGCGUGACAACACGCAAGGUGUAAAAACGUGGUGUGAGACCGUCUAGGCCAGCCUUCCUGAACUCUGCCGAGGACCCGUGCGUCUUUAACGUCCCUUGGGGCGAACUGUUGCGUCAGUGGGAAGCCGCUUUAGAUACUACAUUUUACGCAACGAUUGUGUAGCGCAAAAAGAUAAAAUUACGUAACAAAGUAACGGGUAGAGUAGCUGCCUAUCUAAGGCUGCACAACUGUCGAUUUUUUCAUUGAAAUAAUGGCUAGAUUAUAUAAGAAAUUAGACGAGUGGAGACAACAAGUUGCAGACAACUGGUGCAAUAGCGGCACGUAUCGCCUCGGCCCGGAGAGCCUUCUCUCUUAUCUCACCGAUCUCGAAUAAAACCUCGUAUACGUUUACCAGAAAAUUCCCUAAAGUUUGAAAUAUGACCCUGCAAAUUGACCGACAGUGUGGUGUUUUAGACAUCGUGUUUACAAGCGGCAAAUACUUUACAAGUACGCUGCAAUACACAGUGAUUAAAACACGAACAGAAUGCCGGCCCUUUUGAUCGACAUGUACUUUCGGUCUGCUUUCGGUGUCGGCUAACGAGCCUGUCUACUUACGAGGUACAUGUACCAAGAUUUUUUUCUAACUAGGAGGAAAGCCGACGGACAUAUUUUCAUAAGUUGGAUCCUUCUUUCUUGAAUGUCUGUAAUUUAGUUAAUUAUACCGACCUCGAUGAGUAGAGGAAACAGUUAAUUGUCACAAAUAAACACUGUGCCGGAAUGUUCAGUCCUCCCAACGCUGCAUCACCCGACGGCCGUGCGUUGAAGAUAAGGUUACGUUUGUCUAUGCCGCCGAAACUCGAGAAGUUCCGAUCAAAAGAGAUUGCGACACUAUUCCUCGUCUCUGAUUGGUUGUCGAAAAUGAUUGAAUUUUCGUCCCGCGAAACUUCAGACAGCCCGGCGCCGGGCGGCAAAACUUCAAACAGCCGCGAUAUGUCAAUCAAGACCACGUCCGUGAGAAAGUGUAUGUUUCUUGAGUUGCGGUUUUGGCGAAACACUAUCAAAAUGCAGAACCUAUAUUUCAUUUUUAUCCGGAUCAUAGACUAUCCUCAUUAUUUCAUGUUAGAUUUAAAGCGCUCAAAUUCUAAGUAAAUUGCAGUUUGGAAAGUUGUACCCACAGAAAAGUUGUUCAGAUGGCAUUCAUGUUUGUAUACACGUGAGGUACAUUUUGUACGUGCGGGUCCAAUCUUUUCAGCUUGCGCUGUUCUUUACAUUUUGCCGUAUUUUUCUGUGUUUCGUGGAUAUAUAAAUUGAAUAUAUGAGGACAUGAAUUGGCUAUUUAGACGCAUGAAGUGACCACUAAUGUUUCUAUAUACAUACAUUUCUAUAUAAUAUAAACGACAUACAUGUACAUGUAAUAUGAAUAAAGGAUAUUGUGUUUGAUCAUAACUUACUAUUUCUAGAUACACUGACGUUCCUUGGUUAGACAUCGAUAGCUACUUUUCUACGCUAGUAAAGUAGAAUUCAGGUUUCCAUCCGCCGGUUUCCUUGACACUGCUGAACGUCACGGUUGCAACUAAUGGCAUGAAGACCUACCUGGAUUCAGGUUUCCAUCCGCCGGUUUCUUUGACACACUGCUGAUCGUCACGGUUGCAACUCGGCCAACAAAACCUACCUGUUCCUGAGUUCUUGUGUCGGAACACCGCCAUCGCCAUCGGACGAUCCGGGUCGUCAGUCAGUCGACGGACGCAACCAUACUCAAGGGCAUACUGGUAUAUUAAACCUAAUGUGUUUUUAUUCUAUGUGUUAAUUGUGUUUUGUCUGCGUAUCUGUUCAAUCUUAUAUCUGUGUAUCUGUUUUAACACAGUUGUGUUGGCGCCACUAAUAUUACCUCUACUGUAUACAUUAAAGAUAGAGGUUUCUAGGCUAGGAAAGUAGAAUUCAGGUUUCCAUCCGCCGGUUCCCUUGACACACUGCUGAUCGUCACGGUUUCUUGAUCUUGAUCUUGAUCUUGAUUGGGUACUGGACAACGCCCCUCAGUUGGGGCAAAGCGUCCGGUUGCAACUUGGCCAACAAAACUUACCUGUUCCUGGCGCAGCUCUUGUGUCGGAACACCGCCAUCGGACGAUCCGGGUCGUCAGUCAGUCGGCGGACGCAACCAUACUCAAGAGCAUACUGGUAUAUUAAACCUAAUGUGUUUUUAUUCUAUGUGUUAAUCGUGUUUUGUCUGCGUAUCUGUUCAAACUUAUAUCUGUUCUAACAAGGUUGUGUUGGCGUCACUAACAUUUCUUCUACUAUGUAACGUUUCUAUAUAACUUUCUAACAUGUUUGAGUCAGUUUAGCUACAACUGUUAUGGGCUGUUCAAGGAAGUUCACUCUUUUACACAUACUCGGACUGUUUGUCACUCUUUUACACAUACUCGGACUGUUUGUCACUCUUUUACACAUACUCGGACUGUUUGUCAGCAACACGUAUAUAUCUGGUCGAGAUACUACAAAGAGAGUUUGGGCCGAUAUUUAUGUGAAUACAUACACAUUAGAUAGAUAUAAACGGCGUCAUGACAUAUUACUGCCCUUGGAACAUGAAAGGUAAGUUUAAUACCGAUCUUAUCGAUCGUCAUUCGGCAGCUUCUACACCGUCAGGAUCGACCAUCAUCUGUUCCGUAUGUUGGAAAUACGGUAGGUUGUUCAUUUUAUUAAAUAUGUCAGUGUAUGAAUAAAUUUGAUACAUUUUUUUAACAACAACAAAGGGGACAUAUAGUACAUUACUAUGGUGUAGUACACAGUAGUGCCGCACUCAAGCAGACUGGCUUAUAUUAACGGCACCACUGGGCAAAACAUUAAGAAAGCAUUCUCAAUUCUUUGAUCGUGGCUACAUUGGCUUGAACCGGUAGCGUAAUGAGUUCGAUAUUCAUUGAUCAUCCACCCCUGUAACAUUGCCACGAACAUAGUUCAAAUAUGAUCUACGCUACCGAUAUACAGUCUACAAAGUAUUUCAAUUAGUCUGUUUUAGACACUGUUGUUAAUACAAAUGAAGAAGAAAAAAAUUAGACAAACCAAGAAGAAAUAGCCACAUAUUAAACACGGGGCUAGUGCAGAGAAGAAAAUUCACGCAGAAUAUUGUAACAGUCAUCGUGGCCUCCUUCUGUGGGAACAUAGUUUCAAAGAAGCCGCUCCUUGCCGCACAUGUGUCAAUCAAAUUCAGCAGCACGUAAGCGCAGACCUAAUUUUUUUCGUAAAGUCUACCGACACUUGAACAGUUACGUCAAUCGUGUACUUGCACACACUUAACAAUCAAAUCAUCUGUUGAUUUUAUCGCAACAAUGUUGGGCUCAUAUUGGCGCCCAAAAAAGACAAAAGAAAAGGUUGACAACAUGUCGCACGACGUUCUAGAGCUAGCCCACACAAACCGUGCAUACGUCUAAAUGUAAUAUGAUACACUAGUAGUUGGCCGAGGCAAAGGAAUUUGCAUAAACAGGUCACGUUCCAGCUUUCCUCUGUGCGGUGCUUGAUGUUCGGAUGUAGGUAUCUGCCGGUCGAAGCCCGUUUAGUUGGUAGUGUGACCUCCUGGAUUUUGUACAACUGCACUGGCCGCAUGGGACAUUCCUUGGUCAUUUUACGAAAGUUAUCUGUUAAAUGGUCUGUAAUGGGUGCUAGAAGCGGUCAGAGAAACUUACCUUGUUGGCGGAGAAAACAUGUAACAAGUUAAUGAUGUAACGUUACGCAAGUUUCAUUUUUGCCCGAGGCCUGGACGAGGUUUCUUUUCCAGUGAUUGGACAAAACUAGGUCAAAAUUUGCAUAAACAGAUCACAUUACAAUUUUCGUGCCACGCAGCUUGUAGCGAGACUGCAUCUACCGAUUGGAAGCUCGUGGAAUAGAUUAGAUACAUUUGUACAUUUUGUAUGUCCCACAGUUUUAAAGUUGUGGGUCAGGGACCACCAGGAUUUUGCACGACCACAGGGUCUGCAUGUAUAACUCAAUUAAUAUUAUUAUGCUAAAGUUCAGUUUGUCCCAGCCUUUGUCCAAAGAUGAGCAUUACAAACAAAACAAAGCCUUUCCAUAUUCUUGCUACUUCUUUAUAGUUCUAGUAGCGUCUACAUCGUGUAACGAGCCGUGGUAAAAGUACAGUACACUAUUAAUUGUCUUCAUUAUGAGUAUACGUACACCAUGUGAUACCGUCCAUCGCAACAACAGAUCCUAAAACACAUUGUCAAAUACAACAACAACAUAUCAUUGGAAGGAUUUGUUCGGUCGGUGAGACCUUGCAUAACUAAAUUUUCCAGACGUGUUUUCCACGCGUUUUUUUUUCUUGCGACAGCCGCGGCUCGUUCUGUUGUUGUUUUCGCUCGCCGUGCGUGGCAGCGCCGAAAGAAUUGCCGUAGCUGAGCGCAAGAAAAAAAGAAAGAAAAAAACAUCGUGUGGAAAAUUUCGUUCUUUUUCUUUUAUUCACACGCAUCGGAUUCAAACAUGUGCUGGACAGUCGGUCCCUCAAAUAGUAGCAAAUCUUCCGACAAACAACGUGAGAGGGAACGGCGCAAGUGCGGGGUCUCACCAUAUCUCCUGGAGAUUUUGCUCGGCUGGCCCUGGAGCCAGCCGCGGCGGCACCGAAAGAUCGGGGGCCCGGUACAAGCAUACUUUGCCAAAUCGACAUUAUUCAUUGCUCUUAAACUUACCAUACCGGAUUUUCUGAUAUCAAUAAAACAAACAUCUUGUGGAAAAAUCAUUUGCUGUUCUUUUAUUUAGACGUAUCAUGUUCAAACAUGCGCUGCACGUCACAGACGGUUCGUAGCAAAUUUGUAGCAAAUCUUCGAUUGAAACAACGUGGGAACAGCACGGGUGAGUUCUAGACCGCGAACGUGUGCCAGGUCUCCCACCAGAGAUCGUGUUACGGGACACGGUUUACGCCCUGCGUGAGUCACGCGUGACCGCAAUCGCAACGCUGCGUGUGCCACGCACAGUCCUGCGUGUGUCACGCAAAACCCUGCGUGAGGUCACGAAAAAUUCUCCGUGAUUGCGUCCGUGAUAUGCUGUGAAACCCGAAGGCCGUACUGUAAGCUAGUAGAAAAGAGAAGUUCUGUUUGUAGAAGUCAUUUUAGCAAUUUUGUUGUCAAAACUAUACUACAAAAAAACCUGUUGUAUGGAGAUCUACCACCGCUAUCUCAAGUCAUACAAGAAAGAAUACUAAGGUUGACGCUGGACACGCAUGCCGGAAUAAAGGAACUAUUAGUGAUGUUCUUCUUUUGAUACCAAAACAUGCAAGUGUAGGAAAACCAAUGUAAAACCUAUCUAGGUCAGCCUUGCAAAGUUGCUUGCUGUUAAGUGGAAGGUGUGUGGAAAGUGCCCGAGGCUAUGGAGGAUAUGGAUGGAUGGAGGGACAGAGUCAUGUGCAUCCUUGCAACCAGCACAACCAUUUGAUUGUUACAGAACUGACUUCCAUUGUGCAUGAUUGCAGUCUUUAGGACAGGACGUUAAUCUGGGUCAUUGUGCUUAUCAAAAGAGCUAGGGGGAAUUUCCCCGGAACAAUGAACCUGUAAAUACUGUACAUAGCAUCAGUCCUCUCUGUCACGACCAGUGGAAGACUAGCUCUUCAGUGUGCUAAACCUGGAUCAAGCUUAGCCUGUGUUUACACAAGCUCUCGCCGGCUGGGCUUAAUGACCCCCUCCCCCCGAGAGCUUGUGGCCGAACAGUUCUAAGCCGCGCGGACCAUUCCAGUUUCUGGAGUCACCAAUAGGAAGCCAGGAUAGGAAUUACUAUGGUAACCGCCCAGCCAUCACGUGAUCCCCGGCGCCAGGCCGGGCGGAGUAGUAGGCGGGGACAGGAAACUUGAUCGAUCCCCCGCGUGCAGUUCUCAGAAAAAUGGCGACGGACAGCACAACCGCAGAGUUUCGGAACGUCCUGCAGACAGUGUGUGCGGACUUUGGGAGUCCCUGGCCCCUGAAGCCGCUUCAGGAAGAGACGAUCAAAUACUGUAAUUCUUGAAAUUCUCGCGUCUGGAAAUUAUAGCGUUUUGUGGAAAAUGGAGUAACUCGCGUCACUUAAUUUUAGCGUUGUGAAGGAGGCGCUAAAUUUUCAGUCGGAUGUGUGAAAAAAUAGCAUGAAUAUUACCAAAACCCUCGGUCGUUUACAUGUCUAAAGUCCGAAAAAUACAUGACUAGAAAUAACAUACACGCCGGCGCUGCGUGUGGUUCUGAAUAAUAAACAACUACCGUACCGACGCGGUGAUUUCAAAACGCGCUUGACGACCGCCGACUCUGGCCGGCCGGCGGCCCGCUUAAUUUUGGCGGACAUAGCCGACCCAACGACGACAACAGCCCACUUGAUACUGCUGUCGUGAAUAAGGAAGCCGAGAAAGCCAUACAGGCGGCGAACAGCGAGAAAAAACGUAGCGGGAACCACCACCAUACUCCGGAAGCAGGACCAAGAUUGCGAAAUUUGGUAGCGAAAACUUGUGAGGGACGUCAGCGAAUCUCGAAUCGGCCACGCAUUCGAUCAAAAAGAAGAAGAAGAAAAAGACGUUUCUGGAAGAAGUCGCCCGCCAUGGAACGAACAAGAUCGCAAAAUUUUCACGCAAAAAAACAUCGCCAGACUUGAAGGUUGCCGACCUCGAUGCGGCGCCGCAGAAAUAAUUUUGUGAGAACCAUGCGGCGCACGGUCGGCGCCAUUUUGAAACUUGAUUGUUGUUGUUUGUACGCUUGGGUGGCGGCGGAUUCUUGUAAUGAGGGUUUGAUUCCGAAUUGUUCGUAGCUCACAAAAAACACGCCUUACAUAUUGCGCUUUGACGCUAUGAAUUUGACUGUAUUUCAUCCUAGAAAUUCGUAGAUUUACACCAAAUAUUCCGUAGUGGCUCUGUAUUUUUUUCUGCGACGACAUUUUUGCUGUUGUUGUCUGCACGCUAAGAUGACGCGGACAUUUUCUUGUAUAACAUCGUAGCACAACGUGAACUUCGUAACUGUUUUGUAUAUUUUAUGGACAAACUUCUAAAUCGUAGCGUAGAAUAAUAUUGAUAAAUACGAUUGUGUAAACAUGCAGCUCAGCUCGUAACGAAUUUGUGUUGUUUGCGUCAGCAUGCUUUCACUGCAUUUUGUAAAAGAAAUGACGACAAACUUUCCAUUUAAAUAUAUGUUUUAUUUCUUGAAACGAAACUUUUUGGCACAUCAAAGGCCGGCCGACAUCCAUCAUUGCGUAGCGACCGACAGGCCCGUAGCAACCGGCUCCGCUGGGUGCCAUGCCGGCGGCGGGCGCGCGUGACUUUUGCAUCUCAUUAGCACCAUAUAUGGAGGCCCACUGUCGACAAUAUCCGCGAGGUUUAGACGGACCUGACAUCAAGCUCCUACGGGUGGCGGCAAUUGUAGGGCCGGCCGCUAGGGGCUUGAUUUUAGUCAGGCUAGGAUCAAGCUCACU